AGUGGCGGACGGGUGAGUAACACGUAGGUAACCUGCCCCGGAGCGGGGGAUAACAUUUGGAAACAGAUGCUAAUACCGCAUAACAACAAAAGCCACGUGGCUUUUGUUUGAAAGAUGGCUUUGGCUAUCACUCUGGGAUGGACCUGCGGUGCAUUAGCUAGUGGGUAAGGUAACGGCUUACCAAGGCGAUGAUGCAUAGCCGAGUUGAGAGACUGAUCGGCCACAAUGGAACUGAGACACGGUCCAUACUCCUACGGGAGGCAGCAGUAGGGAAUCUUCCACAAUGGGCGCAAGCCUGAUGGAGCAACACCGCGUGAGUGAAGAAGGGUUUCGGCUCGUAAAGCUCUGUUGUUGGAGAAGAACGUGCGUGAGAGUAACUGUUCACGCAGUGACGGUAUCCAACCAGAAAGUCACGGCUAACUACGUGCCAGCAGCCGCGGUAAUACGUAGGUGGCAAGCGUUAUCCGGAUUUAUUGGGCGUAAAGCGAGCGCAGGCGGUUGCUUAGGUCUGAUGUGAAAGCCUUCGGCUUAACCGAAGAAGUGCAUCGGAAACCGGGCAACUUGAGUGCAGAAGAGGACAGUGGAACUCCAUGUGUAGCGGUGGAAUGCGUAGAUAUAUGGAAGAACACCAGUGGCGAAGGCGGCUGUCUGGUCUGCAACUGACGCUGAGGCUCGAAAGCAUGGGUAGCGAACAGGAUUAGAUACCCUGGUAGUCCAUGCCGUAAACGAUGAGUGCUAGGUGU
rnacentral:rRNA from 1 species